AGGUCAGCCUGCCAGUGACAAAGUUUACGGCCUCGGUACCCUAACCGCGCGAAGGUAGCAUAAUCACUUGUUCCUUAAAUAGGGACUUGUAUCAACGGCAUCACGAGGGCUAAACUGUCUCCCCUCUCCAAUCAAUGAACCUGAUCUCUUCGUGAAGAAGCGAAGAUAAACAUAUAAGACGAGAAGACCCCAUGAAGCUUAAAACCAUAUAGCACCCCUCUACUCACAAACCUAAAAAAAAGAGAGCCUGUUAACCAGUUUUUGGCUGGGGCACCCAAGGAGUAUAAACCAACCUCCUUGAUAACAUCUCGAGCCACACCUCUAAGAAACAGUAAACUGACUAAAGUGAUCCGACUAUCUCGAUCAACGAACCAAGUUACCCUGGGGAUAACAGCGCAAUCCAUUUCAAGAGUUCCUAUCGACAAAUGGGUUUACGACCUCGAUGUUGGAUCAGGGUACCCCAGUGGUGCAGCCGCUACUAAAGGUUCGUUUGUUCAACGAUUAAAACCCUACGUGAUCUGAGUUCAGACCGGA
rnacentral:rRNA from 1 species